UACGUAGGGUGCGAGCGUUGCCCGGAUUUAUUGGGCGUAAAGGGCGCGCAGGCGCUUACGCACGGUCCGUUGUGAAAGUCGCUCGGGCUCAACUGGGCGGGGUCAGCGGAUAACGGCGUAGCUGGAGCAGGCUAGGGGGCAAUGGAAUUCCCGGUGUAGUGGUGGAAUGCGUAGAUAUCGAGAGGAACACCAGUGGCGAAGGCGGUUGCCUGGAGCUUGCUGACGCUGAGGCGCGAAAGCGUGGGGAGCGAUCGG
rnacentral:rRNA from 1 species